UACGGGGGGGGCAAGCGUUGUUCGGAAUUACUGGGCGUAAAGGGCUCGUAGGCGGCUGGCUAAGUCAUACGUGAAAUCCCUCGGCUUAACCGGGGAACUGCGUCUGAUACUGGCUAGCUUGAAUCCGGGAGAGGGAGUGCGGAAUUCCAGGUGUAGCGGUGAAAUGCGUAGAUAUCUGGAGGAACACCGGUGGCGAAGGCGGCAUCCUGGACCGGUAUUGACGCUGAGGAGCGAAAGCCAGGGGAGCAAAGCGGGG
rnacentral:rRNA from 1 species